rnacentral:lncRNA from 12 species
AGACAAAUGUGUUAGGCAAAAGCCAAGGGGUGGUUGUUGGGGAAGGUGGAGUUGGGUCCUCAUGACGUUUCUGCCUUGCUCCAUAAAAGCCUUAGCCAGAGCUGCGAGGGCCCAGUGUCUGGACCGUUUCAUUAUGCUCCAGUGACUUCCAGCUUUCAGUGUCCACAUCCCCUGCCUGUGGCUUUUUCUGGCACGGGAGAAGGUCACUCGGCCCUCAUACCCAAGGCAAGUUGGAAGUGCCAUGGAAUUAAUACCACUUAGGAACGGCCUUCAACCAAGGACUCCCGAGAGUUGACAUGAACCCUAGCUCCCUGGACCCUCUGGUGGGAUGAUUCUGUGGUCUGUAGUUCACGCUGUUUCCAGCGUCCCCUUCUAGAAUCAUCCAUGGUGGUAGCUGCCUCGUGAGGCAUAUUCAUGGCGCCUCUCCUGUCCCUGCAUCACUUGCCUGUUCCCCAGUUGGUGUAGCUUUCACUCUCCAAGCAACUGGCUUGCUCUUGUAAUCCUUGUCUCAGGGGCAGCUUCUGGAGCGGGCGACAGGGGGGUGGGGAGCAGGAAUCCAAAUAAGACGUCAUGUUUAGCUUCACUUCCCUCUUUAUAUAACUUCUUCCGCUCAUCACUCUUUCAAACUCUUAAGUUUGGGCUUGUGGUAGCCCUGCGUGUACAAUAUGAGCCUGUCUUCCAGCCUCCGGCUGAUUGGACCAGGGAGGGAGAGCUGCUGAGCCGAUCAGAGUCCCUGCCCUAAGAGUUUUGGAGAUUGGUAGGGAUGGUGGGAGUGGAGGGGGAGUGGAGAGGGGGUGGCAGGGGGUGGAGUCGGGGGAGACACACAGAGGAGACAGAGAGAUUGAUUGAGCGAAUCUUUCCCAGGUGGGGACUGAAGCAGGGACACUUGGGAGCUAUGAACACAUCCUGCAUAUAUCUGUUCUGGGGAUCUGUGACAGCUCAACUGACCUGCGGAGAGCAAAAUGAAGCAGUGAUUGCUGUGUUGUGCGCACUCAACAAAAAUGGGGCAAGAAUGUAAGAAGGCUGAUCCAGGAGGGCCAACCUCUUCUGCUUUCUCAUCGACUGAAUCCCCCAGUGGUCAGUGGAGAUUUGUAAUACUUGUUGAGCCCAUAAGUGAUU